AUUGAACGCUGGCGGCAGGCCUAACACAUGCAAGUCGAGCGGAUGAAGGGAGCUUGCUCCUGGAUUCAGCGGCGGACGGGUGAGUAAUGCCUAGGAAUCUGCCUGGUAGUGGGGGAUAACGUCCGGAAACGGGCGCUAAUACCGCAUACGUCCUGAGGGAGAAAGUGGGGGAUCUUCGGACCUCACGCUAUCAGAUGAGCCUAGGUCGGAUUAGCUAGUUGGUGGGGUAAAGGCCUACCAAGGCGACGAUCCGUAACUGGUCUGAGAGGAUGAUCAGUCACACUGGAACUGAGACACGGUCCAGACUCCUACGGGAGGCAGCAGUGGGGAAUAUUGGACAAUGGGCGAAAGCCUGAUCCAGCCAUGCCGCGUGUGUGAAGAAGGUCUUCGGAUUGUAAAGCACUUUAAGUUGGGAGGAAGGGCAGUAAGUUAAUACCUUGCUGUUUUGACGUUACCAACAGAAGAAGCACCGGCGAACUUCGU
rnacentral:rRNA from 1 species